UACAGAGGGUGCGAGCGUUAAUCGGAAUUACUGGGCGUAAAGCGUGCGUAGACGGUUAUUUAAGUCGGGUGUGAAAGCCCCGGGCUCAACCUGGGAAUUGCAUUCGAGACUGAAUAGCUAGGGUACGGUAGAGGGAAGCGGAAUUUCAGGUGUAGCGGUGAAAUGCGUAGAUAUCUGAAGGAACAUCAGUGGCGAAAGCGACUUCCUGGACCAAUACUGACGCUCAUGUGCGAAAGCGUGGGGAGCAAACAGG
rnacentral:rRNA from 1 species